ensembl:snRNA U6 U6 spliceosomal RNA
GUGCUCACUUCAGUAGCACAUACACUAAAAUUGGAACGAUACAAAGAACAUUAGCAUGACCUCUGUGCAAGGAUGACAUGAAAUUCAUCAAGUGUUCCACAUUUUC